rnacentral:rRNA from 1 species
UACGUAGGGGGCAAGCGUUGUCCGGAAUCAUUGGGCGUAAAGAGCUCGUAGGCGGCUCGUCGCGUCAGCUGUGAAAACCCGCGGCUUAACCGUGGGCGUGCAGCUGAUACGGGCGGGCUAGAGUUCGGUAGGGGAGACUGGAAUUCCUGGUGUAGCGGUGAAAUGCGCAGAUAUCAGGGGGAACACCGGUGGCGAAGGCGGGUCUCUGGGCCGAUACUGACGCUGAGGAGCGAAAGCGUGGGGAGCGAACAGG